AUGAUAAUAAAUAGAGAUUAGUGGCUCAGUAAUAGGAUAAUAUAGAGGUUAGUGGCUCAGUAAUUGGAUAAUAUAGAGGUUAGUGGCUCAGUAAUAGGAUAAUAUAGAGGUUAGUGGCACAGAGGGUCAGUUAUAUGAUAAUAAAUAGAGGUUAGUGGCUCAGUAAUUGGAUAUGGAGCUCAGACAGCCUACUUGCCCGGGGCUCGGGGUCCACACACGGGGGCCGGCAGUCAGUCAGUCCAGGGAUCCCCCAGGGGGGCCGGCCGGCAGUCAGUCCAGGGAUCCUUCGGGGGGGCCGGGCGACCUAUUGUUUGUGUGAGCAGCCGGCAGGCGGUGACUCAGGGAUGACCCAGCGGCACUUCCUGGUCUCGGCAGCAGGGACUGAGCGCGGCUGGAUGGGGGAGGCCGUAUCCCUGAUCGCCCGGCUUCCCACCGACCGCUCCUGUCAGCUCGAAUCAGCUGAUCGCUCUGAACUUCGGCCUUUUUUUUUUUUUUUUUUUACCGAGACUGAAUUACAAAACAAAGGACGUCACAGGAAAGUGCGCGCACGGCAUGCCGGGGGAUGCAGUCCAAGGUGUUUUCGUUUAGAAUGCGGCUGAAGGCGGGACAAGACUUCAUUUCCCGUCAUGCUCCGCGCGAGGCUGUCAGUACAG
rnacentral:lncRNA from 1 species